GAUGAACGCUGGCGGCGUGCCUAAUACAUGCAAGUCGAGCGAACAGACGAGGAGCUUGCUCCUUUGACGUUAGCGGCGGACGGGUGAGUAACACGUGGAUAACCUACCUAUAAGACUGGGAUAACUUCGGGAAACCGGAGCUAAUACCGGAUAAUAUAUUGAACCGCAUGGUUCAAUAGUGAAAGACGGCUUUGCUGUCACUUAUAGAUGGAUCCGCGCCGCAUUAGCUAGUUGGUAAGGUAACGGCUUACCAAGGCGACGAUGCGUAGCCGACCUGAGAGGGUGAUCGGCCACACUGGAACUGAGACACGGUCCAGACUCCUACGGGAGGCAGCAGUAGGGAAUCUUCCGCAAUGGGCGAAAGCCUGACGGAGCAACGCCGCGUGAGUGAUGAAGGUCUUCGGAUCGUAAAACUCUGUUAUUAGGGAAGAACAAAUGUGUAAGUAACUAUGCACGUCUUGACGGUACCUAAUCAGAAAGCCACGGCUAACUACGUG
rnacentral:rRNA from 1 species